GCGUCGGUAGUGCAACGGUUGAGCACGUGCCCUUGAAUAGAUUGAAAUGUGGGUUCAAAUCCCAGCUGACGCA